CCCCCACCCAGAAACACUCCCGUGUGCUCGUCAGAGGAGGAGCAGGAGGACAUAAGCACAGUGGAGGACCAGGCCGAGUACACGGAGGACUUCAUCUACAGUUCACAGGAUCAGAGUUUCCAGACCUCCGGAGUUUACAGCGCCACUGAGACCUCCACCAAUCAGGAUGAGCAGGAAGGAGGCGUGGCUGACUCUCCCACGAGAUCAGACGUGAACUUCAGCUACAGCCAGCAGGUAGUGAAGCCGCUGUCAGUCAUCUGCUCGUCUCCAUCUUCCUC